UAGCGGCGAGUGAGCGGCAAAAGCUCAAAUUUGAAAUCUGGCACCUUCGGUGUCCGAGUUGUAAUUUGAAGAUUGUAACCUUGGGGUUGGCUCUUGUCUAUGUUUCUUGGAACAGGACGUCACAGAGGGUGAGAAUCCCGUGCGAUGAGAUGCCCAAUCCUAUGUAAGGUGCUUUCGAAGAGUCGAGUUGUUUGGGAAUGCAGCUCUAAGUGGGUGGUAAAUUCCAUCUAAAGCUAAAUAUUGGCGAGAGACCGAUAGCGAACAAGUACAGUGAUGGAAAGAUGAAAAGAACUUUGAAAAGAGAGUGAAAAAGUACGUGAAAUUGUUGAAAGGGAAGGGUUUGAGAUCAGACUCGAUAUUUUGUGAGCCUUGCCUUCGUGGCGGGGUGACCCGCAGCUUAUCGGGCCAGCAUCGGUUUGGGCGGUAGGAUAAUGGCGUAGGAAUGUGACUUUGCUUCGGUGAAGUGUUAUAGCCUGCGUUGAUGCUGCCUGCCUAGACCGAGGACUGCGAUUUUAUCAAGGAUGCUGGCAUAAUGAUCCCAAACCGCCCGUCUU
rnacentral:rRNA from 1 species